CAAGUUUUACACAUUUAAUCUGAAGAGGAUGUGGAAGAUCCUGAUAUAUCCUCAUUUUCUUUUCCAGCGCAGUUAAAACCCAGGGACAGUUUUGCAGAUAAAAGCCCUCUUCAGAGUAUUUAGUCUGGUGGCCUUUACCCAGGGACAAAUUCAAGCCUUAAUUUAUCUCCCACAAGAGAACACAAGUCUCAAAGCUGUAGAAACUAUAAGUGCUUUGAACCAGCCCUCUCUCCAAGGGUUAGUAGGAAGUCAAGAUGUUGGAGGUGCAAACUGUGGAUCUGGAAGAGAGAAAUGCCUAGAGGUUGGUGUUCCUGUGAUGCUCCAAGGCCGCUGUAGCAUCCACUGACCUUUCCAUAUGUUGUCUGAAGUCAAGAAGCACAUCUCCACUGCAGCCAUUCCACUCCUGCCUGGCUGGUUUCAUCUAAUUUCAGAGUAAGCAUAGAUUGUUUGGCUCAUACAUUUUAGUUCCCUGUCUGUCUGCAAGGGGAAAUCAGCUCCUGCUGCCUUGGCCCCUGUCAUUUUGGUUUGUCAUCAUGGAGCCUCCUCCAGCUGCUACACCAGUGCACCCAGCUCCUUCAGAGCUGGGCUCUUGGCUUACACAGCACUUGCUUUGACCACAGAUCCCAGGGUUCCCCAGCUGCUUUUCAUAGCUCCUCGCUCACGUUGACCUUGGACUUCAAAUUCUUCACGGCUGUUGAAGUACAGUCAUCAGAGAAACUGAGAGAGAAGCCUCCUUUUAUUUUCAUCACUUCAACAAGAAAAGUCAUCCAAGAGACACAUUACUAGUCCCUUGUAUUUUUGAUCUGCCACUGAUCUGCUGGAGACCUGACCUUUCUCUGCCUCAUCUGGCUUUCUUCUCUGCCUUGUCUGGUCAUGCUGUGGGCAGCAGAAGGCUUUUGAUGACCUUAGUUAUCAUUUUAAGACCUUUCAUGUUCUUAGGUUUUGAUAGAUAUGUCCUUAAAAAUCCUGCUUAAAAACCACAGGAAAUUAAUUAGUUUAAGGAAAGGAUUUGGAGUGUGUAGAAUAUUUUGUUAGAAAGAGAAAACAGCUGCUUUUUCAGUACAAGUAUGAAGUCAAUGUGAAGUGUCAGAUGUGAAAUUUAGAAAGAUUUUUUUAUCUACUUCAUGUGAAUAAUGCAGCAUGUGUUUGUUGUUCAUUUCAGUUCUGGAGAAGUAAUUUCUAUUAUUUCACUUUCUAUAUAAAAGCAAAAGCAUCAUUUCCAUUAGCACAUAUCGUUCCUCUGGGAAAUGCUGAUUUUUAUCCUAACUGCAGUUAAUUAGAUUUAAAAAAAAAUAAACACUUUACUUAGAAGAAUAUGAAUUGAUAAUAGAUAUUUAAAAGUUAAUAUUUUCCUUAAGGCUGAAAACAGAUUUGC